rnacentral:rRNA from 1 species
CCUACGGGAGGCAGCAGUGAGGCAUAUUUGUCAAUGGGCGCGAGCCUGAACCCGCCUAGUCGCGUGAGGGAUGAAGGUUCUAUGGAUCGUAAACCUCUUUUAUAAGGGAAUAAAGUGUGGGACGUGUCCUAUUUUGUAUGUACCUUAUGAAUAAGGAUCGGCUAACUCCGUGCCAGCAGCCGCGGUAAUACGGAAGAUCUGAGCGUUAUCCGGAUUUAUUGGGUUUAACGGGUGCGUAGGCGGCCUUUUAAGUCAGCGGGGAAAGUCUGUGGCUCAACCAUAGAAUUGCCGUUGAAACUGGGGGGCUUGAGUAUGUUUGAGGCAGGCGGAAUGCGUGGUGUAGCGGUGAAAUGCUUAGAUAUCACGCAGAACCCCGAUUGCGAAGGCAGCCUGCCAAGCCAUGACUGACGCUGAUGCACGAAAGCGUGGGGAUCAAACAGGAUUAGAUACCCCAGUAGUC